rnacentral:lncRNA from 1 species
AGUUACCGUGAAGCCAUGGAUUUGUUCUCCAACCCUAUAAAGAAGCGCCCGUUCGUUGGCAGGAAUGCUCUUCCACCUCCAUGACUUCUGAUUCAGAGACCUAAAACAGAACAUCUCCUUCAGGCAAAGAGAACCUCAGGGCCAGAACAGGGGUAGCAAGGCAUGCUCCCUUCACCUGGCGCUGGGAGGGGAGCAUAGGUACAGCUGAGGAAAACAGCCUGCUGCAGUCCCGACGCUGAGGGGCAGCCAGCACGGGGCCUUCUGUCCAUGUCAGGGGAGCAACGCGCCAUUCCCCGCCCCUGGACUGAGCUUUUCUCCGGGCACAGGAGCCGUGAGGCCCGCGGGGCAGGGAAGAUCUGUCUGCAGGUUCCAGCAUCAUCGCGUGACUCUCAUUGCCCAUCUCCACUCUGCCCUGCUGCUGGUUACUCUGCCUUGAGGCACGCUGUCCAUCCCUCUUCUUUUACUCGGUUGUGUUUUUCAU